GGGUCUGUGGUGAAAUGGUAUCAUGAAGGUCUCCAAAACCUUUGUUCCUGGUUCGAAUCCAGGCAGACCUG
rnacentral:tRNA from 1 species